GAUGAACGCUGGCGGCGUGCUUAACACAUGCAAGUCGAACGGUGAAGCAGAGCUUGCUCUGUGGAUCAGUGGCGAACGGGUGAGUAACACGCGAGCAACCUGCCCUGGACUCUGGGAUAAGCGCUGGAAACGGCGUCUAAUACUGGAUACGAGACGUGGCCGUAGUGUCAACGUUGGGAAAGAUUUUUUGGUUCAGGAUGGGCUCGCGGCCUAUCAGCUUGUUGGUGAGGUAAUGGCUCACCAAGGCGUCGACGGGUAGCCGGCCUGAGAGGGUGACCGGCCACACUGGGACUGAGACACGGCCCAGACUCCUACGGGAGGCAGCAGUGGGGAAUAUUGCACAAUGGGCGAAAGCCUGAUGCAGCAACGCCGCGUGAGGGAUGACGGCCUUCGGGUUGUAAACCUCUUUUAGCAAGGAAGAAGCGAAAGUGACGGUACUUGCAGAAAAAGUGCCGGCUAACUACGUGCCAGCAGCCGCAGUAACAC
rnacentral:rRNA from 1 species